CCCGCUGAACUUAAGCAUAUUAAUAAGCGGAGGAAAAGAAACUAACAAGGAUUCCCCUAGUAACGGCGAGUGAAGCGGGAAGAGCUCAAGCUUAAAAUCUCCGUGCAAGUUUUGCGCGGCGAAUUGUAGUCUAUAGAGGCGUGAUCAGUGUGGGCGCUUGUUUUAAGUUCCUUGGAAGAAGACAGCAUGGAGGGUGAUACUCCCGUUCAUCCCUGAGUUGCUCGUGCGUACGAUCCGUUUUCUUUGAGUCGCGUUGUUUGGGAAUGCAGCGCAAAGUAGGUGGUAAAUUCCAUCUAAAGCUAAAUAUUGGUGCGAGACCGAUAGCGAACAAGUACCGUGAGGUGAAAGAUGAAAAGAACUUUGAAAAGAGAGUUAAAGAGUACCUGAAACUGCUGAAGGGAACCGAAUCGUUUCCAGUGUCUAUAAUCCGUGGUAUAUUUCAUUGGCGAGUGUGUGCGUGCGUGUGCUGUGGCAGCGGCUUUUUUGGCUGCGCUCGGCGUGUGUGCUGUGUGUGCUUGCUGGUGCCCUGUGCUGCGGUGGGACGUCAAGGUCAGUUCGUAUGCUGCGGGAAAUGGCCGCCGAGGAGGUAGGGCUUACGCUUGCGUUUGUCUGUUAUAUCUUGGUGGACGAGUAGUCGCGGUUGGGACUGAGGUGCCUACAACGUGUUUUUGAGUGGGCCUGUGUCUCUGUGUGCGCCGUGUGCGGAUAGCUUGCUAUGCGUGUGUGGUUGUGUGUGGAUUGAUGUGAGUUUUAACUUGUUGCCGUUCGGGACGUUGACGAAAUGGAGCGAUUUGACCCGUCUUGAAACACGGACCAAGGAGUCUAACAUGUGUGCAAGUGUUAGGGUGUGGAAACCCCAGCGCGAAAUGAAAGUGAAGGGCAGCGUAAGUUGUCUGAGGUAGGAAAUGCUGCGGGCUUCGGUCUGCGGUGUGGCACUAUCGACCGAUCAUGAACCUUCGUGGUGAAAGAUUUGAGUUUGAGCACAUAUGUUGGUACCCGAAAGAUGGUGAACUAUGCCUGAGUAGGGUGAAGCCAGGGGAAACUCUGGUGGAAGCUCGUAGCGAUUCUGACGUGCAAAUCGAUCGUCAAACUUGGGUAUAGGGGCGAAAGACUAAUCGAACCAUCUAGUAGCUGGUUCCCUCCGAAAUUUCCCUCAGGAUAGCAGCAACUUAUUUACGAUAGUUUUAUGAGGUAAAGCGAAUGAUUAGAGGAUUCGGGGAAGAAACUUCCUCGACCUAUUCUCAAACUUUAAAUCUGUAAGACCUGCAGGUUUCUUAAUUGAACUUGUGGAUGUGAAUAUCAAGUUGCUAGUGGGCCAUACGGGGUAAGCUCGUCUGGCGAUGCGGGAUGAACCGAACGCAAAGUUAAAGUGCCAAAAUGCUCGCUCACCUAGAUACCAUAAAAGGUGUUGGUUCAUUUAGACAGCAGGACGGUGGCCAUGGAAGUCGGAAUCCGCUAAGGAGUGUGUAACAACUCACCUGCCGAAUGAACUAGCCCUGAAAAUGGAUGGCGCUAAAGCGGGCUACUUAUACUUUGCCGUUAGCGCGAUAGCAUUUAUAAUGUACGCGUUAAUGAGUAGGAGGGCGUGAAGGUCGUGAAGAAGCUCGUGGCGUGAGCCUGAGUGAACGGCCUUUAGUGCAGAUCUUGGUGGUAGUAGCAAAUAUUCAAAUGCGAACUUUGAAGACUGAAGUGAAGAAAGGUUCCGUGUGAUCAGUAAUUGGACACGGGUGAGUCGAUCCUAAGAGAUAGGAUAAUUCCGUUUGAAAGCUGGGCUGUUUGAGGCGUGGGGUUCGUCCUUGCGUUUUGUAUGCAGCCUCGUGUAUCGAAAGGGAAUCAGGUUAAUAUUCCUGAACCGAGACGUGGAUAAUAUGUGGUAACACAACCGACCCAGGAGACGCUAGCGUGUGCCCAGGGAAGAGUUCUCUUUUCUUUUUAACAAGCAUAUCCUACCUUGGAAACGGAUUAUCCGGCGAUAAGGAGGAUGCCUUGGCAAAGCACUUUACUUUUUGAAGUGUCCUGCGCGCCCACGACAGCCCUUGAAAAUCCUGGCUAGAGAUUUAUUCGCACCCUCGUUUCGUACUCAUAAACGCAUCAGGUCUCCAAGGUUAGCAGCCUCUAGUU
rfam:Phytophthora infestans T30-4 supercont1.52 genomic scaffold, whole genome shotgun sequence.